CCUAACACAUGCAAGUCGAGCGGUAGAGAGGUGCUUGCACCUCUUGAGAGCGGCGGACGGGUGAGUAAUGCCUAGGAAUCUGCCUGGUAGUGGGGGAUAACGCUCGGAAACGGACGCUAAUACCGCAUACGUCCUACGGGAGAAAGCAGGGGACCUUCGGGCCUUGCGCUAUCAGAUGAGCCUAGGUCGGAUUAGCUAGUACCUGAGUUAUGGCUCACAUGGGCGACAGUCCGUAACUGGUCUGAGAGGAUGAUCAGUCACACUGGAACUGAGACACGGUCCAGACUCCUACGGGAGGCAGCAGUGGGGAAUAUUGGACAAUGGGCGAAAGCCUGAUCCAGCCAUGCCGCGUGUGUGAAGAAGGUCUUCGGAUUGUAAAGCACUUUAAGUUGGGAGGAAGGGCAUUAACCUAAUACGUUAGUGUUUUGACGUUACCGACAGAAUAAGCACCGGCUAACUCUGUGCCAGCAGCCGCGGUAAUACAGAGGGUGCAAGCGUUAAUCGGAAUUUACUGGGCGUAAAGCGCGCGUAGGUGGUUCGUUAAGUUGGAUGUGAAAGCCCCGGGCUCAACCUGGGAACUGCAUUCAAAACUGUCGAGCUAGAGUAUGGUAGAGGGUGGUGGAUAUUCCUGUGUAGCGGUGAAAUGCGUAGAUAUAGGAAGGAACACCAGUGGCGAAGGCGACCACCUGGACUGAUACUGACACUGAGGUGCGAAAGCGUGGGGAGCAAAAAGGAUUAGAUACCCUGGUAGUCCACGCCGUAAACGAUGUCAACUAGCCGUUGGGAGCCUUGAGCUCUUAGUGGCGCAGCUAACGCAUUAAGUUGACCGCCUGGGGAGUACGGCCGCAAGGUUAAAACUCAAAUGAAUUGACGGGGGCCCGCACAAGCGGUGGAGCAUGUGGUUUAAUUCGAAGCAACGCGAAGAACCUUACCAGGCCUUGACAUCCAAUGAACUUUCCAGAGAUGGAUUGGUGCCUUCGGGAACAUUGAGACAGGUGCUGCAUGGCUGUCGUCAGCUCGUGUCGUGAGAUGUUGGGUUAAGUCCCGUAACGAGCGCAACCCUUGUCCUUAGUUACCAGCACGUUAUGGUGGGCACUCUAAGGAGACUGCCGGUGACAAACCGGAGGAAGGUGGGGAUGACGUCAAGUCAUCAUGGCCCUUACGGCCUGGGUUACACACGUGCUACAAUGGUCGGUACAGAGGGUUGCCAAGCCGCGAGGUGGAGCUAAUCCCACAAAACCGAUCGUAGUCCGGAUCGCAGUCUGCAACUCGACUGCGUGAAGUCGGAAUCGCUAGUAAUCGCGAAUCAGAAUGUCGCGGUGAAUACGUUCCCGGGCCUUGUACACACCGCCCGUCACACCAUGGGAGUGGGUUGCACCAGAAGUAGCUAGUCUACUCUUCGGGGCGGUUACCACGGGGUACAU
rnacentral:rRNA from 1 species